UGACCACAAGUGCCAGAUGUGCUGUCUAAUUGGUUUUGGCCAAAGAGCACAUGCGCAGAGCAGCCAUGAGGCAUGACAGGAAAUGGAACAUGGGAAUUCCAAGCAAUUUGCUGUCCAGUCUUCCAGUCAUCAGCCCGUGGUAUUUCAGUGUGGAGGCAGCGUGUCGCUGCUGUGCAGGGCCAGCCCUGUAACACUGUACAUGUGCCAGACUUGGGAAAUAAAAGAGGCCUUGUUCUGCUUCAACGUCAGCCUUGUCCAGCAUCACGCAGUGACACUUGGAGGCCUUCCAAGAAUGUGUGUCACAGGCCCUGCUAGAGCAGAUACCAAAGGAGCAUAACUGCUGCACAGCUCUGCGCCCUAACAAGGUUCUCCUGUACAUGCACGUUUGGAAAGUUACUGCUGAGUAAGGAAAGAACGUUUGAAGACACCUCUAUCCAAGGACCUACAUGAAAUGCAUGCUGUGGUGGUUUUUCCUAGUACCAAAUUUAAGUGAAGAAUAUAAUAGAAGUAGCAGAAGAUGACAUUUGCUUUAGGAGAGUACUGAGGAAAGGAAGCUACAAUCAACAUUUGAACAGAUCACAGGGGGCUGGAAACCCUCUUUCCUGAAAUGCAGCCGUGAGACUCCAGCUUCAGGGCCAACACACUACCUGCUGCAGAAGUUUAUCUGGAAAUAACUAA